GCACAAACGUGGAUAAUGUGGAUUAAUUCGAUGCAACGCGAAGAACCUUACCUACCCUUGACAUGUCCGGAACUUGCCAGAGAUGGCUUGGUGCCCGAAAGGGAAUCGGAACACAGGUGCUGCAUGGCUGUCGUCAGCUCGUGUCGUGAGAUGUUCGGUUAAGUCCGCUAACGAGCGCAACCCUCGCUGUGUGUUACAAGUGUCACACGGAACUGCCGGUCAUAAACCGGAGGAAGGUGGGAUGACGUCAAGUCAGCAUGGCCUUUAUAUCCUGGGCUACACACACGCUACAAUGGGAAGGGACAAUAGGUUGCGAAGCCGCGAGGCGGAGCCAAUCCAGCAAAACUUCCCUCAGUUCAGAUUGCAGGCUGCAACCCGCCUGCAUGAAGUUGGAGUUGCUAGUAAACGCAGGUCAGCCAUACUGCGUUGAAUACGUUCCCGGGGCUU
rnacentral:rRNA from 1 species